rnacentral:rRNA from 1 species
GACGAACGCUGGCGGCGUGCUUAACACAUGCAAGUCACGGGGACCCGCAAGGGUAACCGGCGAACGGGUGCGUAACACGUGAGCAACCUGCCGAUUUGUGGGGGAUAGCCGGCCCAACGGCCGGGUAAUACCGCAUACGCUUUAGGGGAGACAUCUCUCUUUGAGGAAACCUCCGGGGCAGAUCGAGGGGCUCGCGGCCUAUCAGCUAGUUGGCGGGGUAAUGGCCCACCAAGGCUCUGACGGGUAGCUGGUCUGAGAGGAUGGCCAGCCACAUUGGGACUGAGAAACGGCCCAGACUCCUACGGGAGGCAGCAGUGGGGAAUCUUGCGCAAUGGCCGAAAGGCUGACGCAGCGACGCCGCGUGUGGGAGGACGCCCUUCGGGGUGUAAACCACUGUUGCCCGGGACGAACUUCCGGUUUCGACCGGAUUGACGGUACCGGGUGAGGAAGCACCGGCUAACUCCGUGCCAGCCGCCGCGGUAAUAC